AUGCUCCCUUAUUUUCUUUGUUUGCAACUCUUGUCAUCUGGGACCUAUACUGUAUUUUAUUUGCUUUCAUAUCUUAAAGUGAUUUGGAAAUAUUUUUCCAGUUAUGCUAAUACCAAGAGUUGUCCCAACACUGAAAUAGUAUUUAAGGCUGAGUUAGGAAGGCUAUUUUCUUCAUCUAAUGUUCUUUUAAACAUUACUCAUAUAAAAAUUAUUACAACAAUUUUAUGUGUAAAAUUUUCUUCAUCUAAUGUUCUUUUAAACAUUAUUCAUAUAAAAAUUAUUAUAACAAUUUUAUGUGCAAAAGUAGAGAGAAUAACAAAUCCUCAUAAAACUGUCAUUUUGAUUUUAUAAUUAACAUUUUGUAAUACUUGCUUUAUUUUUUCCUUUUGCUAAAGUAGUUUGAAACUAGUCUCCCCCCCCCAGAAAAAAAGAAAACUUUUUUGUUCCCCUAAUAUUUCACCCUGAAAUACUUCACUGCACAUUUCUUAAAAAUGAGGAUGCUUUCUUACAUGACCAUAAUGUUACCCAACAAUAAACCCCUUCAUAUUAUCCAACAGUCAGCCCAAAUUCAAAUGAUCCCAAAUGUACCCAAGCUGUAUUUUGAUAUUUCAUCUUACAUUUAGUUUGACUUAUGGUCUAAACUGGGUCACAUAUUAUAUUUGAUUGUUCAGUUUCUAAUCUCUGCUCAUCAACUUACUUUCCUUAAAAAUCCAUCUUUGGACUUGCCUAGUGGUCCAGUGGGUAGGGCUCCCAGCUUCCACUGUGGAGGGGUGGGUUUGAUCUCUGGCUGGGGAACUAAGAUCCCACAUGCUGAGUAGUGUAGCCAGAAAAAGAAAGUUAUCUUGAUUUGUUUCCUUUUACUUUUCUUCUAUUUUUAAAAUUCUACUUUAUUUAUUUUUUUGGUGGGGGAAGUUUGAGCAAGACAGUAUUCUCAUCUUGAGUGUGGGGCAAUCUAAUUCCUUGUUUAUGUAUCUCAAUAUCCCUGGUCUUUAUAUAUGUAUCAGUUCAGUCAGCUCAGUCGCUCAGUAGCGUAGGACUCUUUACGACCCCAUGAAUUGCAGCACGCCAGGCCUCCCUGUCCAUCACCAACUCCCGGAGUUCACUCAAACUCACAUCCAUCGAGUCGAUGAUGCCAUCCAACCAUCUCAGCCUCUGUCGUCCCCAUCUCCUCCUGCCCCCAAUCCUUCCCAGCAUCAGAGUCUUUUCCAAUGAGUCAACUCUUCACAUGUUAUAUAUAUAUAUGUGUGUGUGUGUGUGUGUGUGUGUGUGUGUGUGUUUUGAAUGUUAUAUAUAUAUAUAAAUGUGUGAGUGUGUGUGUAUAUUAGCCAAACACUAUUUUUCUAAAGUAUAUCUUUGAAAAUAGCUACUAAGGAGCUAGGGAUUAAAAGCAAAACUUUGGGGAUGUAUUACUUAGUUUUAUAUUUUUCAUGUUUGCAAAAUUCAUCUGAGUCAGAAAAAGAAGCUCUUUUAUCAUAAAUAUUUAAUUGUAAGGGCCCUCUCUCAGAAUUAAGACUUUUCUCAUUCAUUCCUCAAAGAAGUUUUCUUGUUAAAAAAAAAAGAGAGAGAAAAUCAUAUUGUUUGUUUUUAGCACUUUCUAGAGGCAAUGUGAUACAAUAGUAGGAAGGAAAAAUAUUGGCAGAGAUUUAGAAUUAGAAGACUGAGGUUUGGUUCUACCUUUAAGAUGAACUAAUGAUUUGAAUAAGUACUAUAAGUUGCCCGAGCCAUGGUUAAUUCAUAAGAAAGUUUGUCUUGGUUGAUAGACAAUAUAUACAGGUAACAUUAUAUAAUUUUACAAUAAAAUGCGACUGAAAACAACAAAGCCUUUUGUCCCUCUGACAAAUAUCCCAGGUCUUAGGCUUCCCAGUGAGGACUGUCUUCAAAGCAGGCCCUUUGCAGCCAUGAACUAUUUCCCCCGAUGCUGCCACACCACAAACAUUUCUGUAACUAUUUGCAGAAUCAGUUUACAAGCCGCACAAUAACUCUGCUAUAAGUGCUUCUAGCACAAUAAACACUACUUCCUGAGACACCGGUAAGUGGGCCAAGAAGUGACAGUUAGAACCAGACAUGAAACAAUUGACUGGUUCAAAAUCAGGAAAGGAGCACAUCAAGGUUGUAUACUGUCACCCUGCUUAUUUAACUUAUAUGCAGAGUACUUCAUGUGAAAUGCUGGGCUGGAUGAAUCCCAAGCUGGAGUCAAGAUUGCUGAGAGAAAUAUCAACAACCUCGGAUAUGCAGAUGACACCACCCUAAUGGCAGAAAGUGAAGAGGAACUAACGAGGAGCCUCAUCUCUUGAUGAGAAUGAAAGGAGAGUGAACAAGCUGCCUUGAAUCUCAACAUUUAAAAAACUGGGGUCAUGGCAUCUGGGUGCAUCUCCUCAUGGCAAAUAGGAAGGAAAAAAGGGGAAGCAAAUUUUCUUGGGCUCCAAAAUCACUGCAGAUGGUGACUGCAGCCAUGAAAUUAAAAGACGUUUGCUCCUUGGAAGAAAAGCUAUGGCGAACCUAGAUAGCAUAUUACAAAGCAGAGACAUUACCUUGCUGACAAAGGUCCAUCUAGUCAAAGAUAUGGUUUUUCCUGUAGUCAUGUAUGGAUGUGAGAGUUGGACCAUAGAGAAAGCUGAGCGUCGAAGAAUUGAUGCUUUUAAAUUGUGGUGCUGGAGAAGACUCCUGAGAAUCCUUGGACAGCAAGGAGAUCAAACCAGUCAAUCCUAAAGGAAAUCAACACUGAAUAUUCAUUGAAGGGACUGAUGCUGAAGCUGAAGCUCCAAUACUUUGGCCACCUGAUGCAAAGAGCUGACUCACUGGAAAAGAUCUGGGAAAGAUUGUGGGCGGCAGAGGAUGAAAUGGUUGGAUGGCAUCACCGACUCAACGGACAUGAAUUUGAGCAAACUUCAGGAGAUAGUGAAGGACAGGGAGCCUGGUGUGCUGCAGUCCAUGGGGUUGCAAAGAGUUGGAUACGACUUAGUGACUGAAUGACAACAAAAAGCUAACGGCCGUAUUUUCUCUUUUAUUUAGUGAACAUUAAUUGCAGAUUUGCUGCUUACACAAAGAGCUCACCUGGGUGCUGGAGUUGCCAAGGAAGGGUGGGGACUAAGGUGAAUAAAAGUUCCUGCCUGUUAAGUAACCAGCCAUCUGGUUGUGGGGUCUGGGGGAGACGCAAGCACAAAACGAUCAAAAGGAGUAAAUGAAAACUUUAGGGAAUGGAAUUAUCUCCACAACAGCAUUAAUAUCCCCAAAGCCAAGAUCCAUGGGUUUGAGAAAUGGACCUCUUUGGUGUAUGGAGACCAUAACUUAUAUUUUGAGACUGAUAAAGCAACUCUUUGAUAUUAAUCAAAAGUGAUUCCAGUGUCAUCAGUUUAGCACUGGGUGGAGACAUGAACAACAGCUGGAAGUUAAAACUUCAGAGCAUCAUUUUGGCAAGGUUGAAACCAAAGCAAACACAUUUCACACUCAACUGUUGUUGUUCAGUUGCCCAGUCUGACGCUUUGCCACCCCAUGGACUGCAGCAUGCCAGGCUUCCCUGUCCUUCACCACCUCCCAGAGUUUGCUCAGACUCAUUUCCGUUGAGUCGGUGAUGCCGUCCAAUCAUCUCAUCCUCUGUCACCUCCUUUUCCUCUUGCCCUCACCCUUUCCCAGCAUCAGGGUCUUUUCAAAUGAGUGAGCCCUUCACAUCAGGUGGCCAAAGUACUGAAGUUUCAGCUUCAGCAUCAGUCCUUCCAAUGAAUAUUCAGGACUGAUUUCCUUUAGGAUGGACUGGUUGGAUUGCCUUGUAGUCCAAGGGACUCUCAAGAGUCUUCUCCAACACCACAGUUCAAAAGCAUCAAUUCUUUGGCCCUCAGCUUUCUUUAUAGUCCAACUCUCACAUCCAUACAUGACCACUGGAAAAACCAUAGCUUUGACUAGACAGACCUUUGUUGACAAAGUAAUGUCUCUGCUUUUCAAUAUGCUGUCUAGGUUGGUCAUAACUUUCCUUCCAAGGAGUAAGCGUCUUUUAAUUUCAUGACUGCAAUCACUGUCUAGAAUGAUUUUGGAGCCCAGAAAAAUAAAGUCAGCCACUGUUUCCACUGUUUUUCCCCAUCUAUUUGCCAAGAAGUGAUGGGACUAGAUGCCAUGAUCUUAGUUUUCUGAAUGUUGAGCUUUAAGCCAACUUUUUCACUCUCCACUUUCACUUUAAUCGA
rnacentral:lncRNA from 1 species